rnacentral:rRNA from 1 species
UCGAACGGGGCCUGCGCAGCGGAACCCUCCGGGGGGAAGCAGCGCAGUGCCCAGUGGCGGACGGGUGAGUAACGCGUGGGUAACCUGCCCUGUACAGGGGGACAACAGCCGGAAACGGCUGCUAAUACCGCAUAAGCCCGCGGCGCCGCAUGGCGCUGCGGGGAAAACUCCGGUGGUACAGGAUGGGCCCGCGUCUGAUUAGCUAGUUGGCGGGGUAACGGCCCACCAAGGCAGCGAUCAGUAGCCGGCUUGAGAGAGUGGACGGCCACAUUGGGACUGAGACACGGCCCAGACUCCUACGGGAGGCAGCAGUGGGGAAUAUUGCACAAUGGGGGGAACCCUGAUGCAGCAACGCCGCGUGGGUGAAGAAGUAUUUCGGUAUGUAAAGCCCUAUCAGCAGGGAAGAAGAUGACGGUACCUGACUAAGAAGCCCCGGCUAAAUACGUGCCAGCAGCCGCGGUAAUACGUAUGGGGCAAGCGUUAUCCGGAUUUACUGGGUGUAAAGGGAGCGCAGGCGGCGCGGCAAGUCAGAUGUGAAAGCCCGGGGCUCAACCCCGGGACUGCAUUUGAAACUGCCGUGCUGGAGUGUCGGAGAGGCAAGUGGAAUUCCUAGUGUAGCGGUGAAAUGCG